UACAGAGGGUGCGAGCGUUAAUCGGAAUUACUGGGCGUAAAGCGUGCGUAGACGGUUAUUUAAGUCGGGUGUGAAAGCCCCGGGCUCAACCUGGGAAUUGCAUUCGAGACUGAAUAGCUAGGGUACGGUAGAGGGAAGUGGAAUUUCCGGUGUAGCGGUGAAAUGCGUAGAUAUCGGAAGGAACAUCAGGGGCGAAAGCGACUUCCUGGACCAGUACCGACGUUCAGGCACGAAAGCGUGGGGAGCAAACAGG
rnacentral:rRNA from 1 species